rnacentral:rRNA from 1 species
CCUACGGGGGGCAGCAGUGGGGAAUAUUGGACAAUGGGGGCAACCCUGAUCCAGCCAUGCCGCGUGUGUGAAGAAGGCCCUCGGGUUGUAAAGCACUUUCAGUGAGGAAGAACGCCUGGUGGUUAAUACCCAUCAGGAAAGACAUCACUCACAGAAGAAGCACCGGCUAACUCCGUGCAAGCAGCCGCGGUAAUACGGAGGGUGCGAGCGUUAAUCGGAAUUACUGGGCGUAAAGCGCGCGUAGGUGGCUUGAUAAGCCGGUUGUGAAAGCCCCGGGCUCAACCUGGGAACGGCAUCCGGAACUGUCAAGCUAGAGUGCAGGAGAGGAAGGUAGAAUUCCCGGUGUAGCGGUGAAAUGCGUAGAGAUCGGGAGGAAUACCAGUGGCGAAGGCGGCCUUCUGGACUGACACUGACACUGAGGUGCGAAAGCGUGGGUAGCAAACAGGAUUAGAUACCCCAGUAGUC